UCUGUGUCAUUCUUCUGCCAAGGAUAACCGCUCGCGGGUCCAUAAGCGGAGCCCGAACAACCGCUACAAUCGACAGUGCUUCGCCGCAGCUCGACAGAGGCAGCCAACACCGACUGAAAUUCCUCAUAUUCUCUGAAAAACAGAAAACAACAACCAUGAAAGCAACAAUUUUCAGCGUGGCCCUUGUAGUCAUCUUGCUCACGACCGCCUUCGGAUGCGACCACAUGGGUUACCGCCGGGAUGCGGGCCGCUGCAGGACCAAACACGAAACCAAUUUGCAACAGGCGUCAGCUUCCCAGAGAUGCUG